rfam:Tupaia chinensis contig171245, whole genome shotgun sequence.
CCUUCGGCGCCCAGCUUGGCCUGUCUUUCUAAAUAUUAGCAUAAUAAAUAUAAAUGGCAUCAGAACGCGAGCGGGCAGGGGCCACGUGAUCGCUCCCCCGAAGCCACUUG